CAACAGUCAGACUCAAUGGUUGUACUUUCACUUUUUCCUUUAUCUUUCUCCCAUUCGUGCACGAACUCCAUCCCCUCGAGCAGAGCUAGGGUUUUCGCUUGAAGUGCAGAUUGCACUCUCACCUGGCGUGCGAAUCCUCCUAAUAAAAUUCCGGCGGCAUCUCUGCAAACUCCAGUAAUCACUCCUAUAGAUGUGCCCGCUCUGAACCCUCCAUCAACGUUUAUUUUCAGCGACCUCGAGGUAGGGGGAUUCCAUUUCGUUGCAGAGGGCUUCGGUGACUACUCCAUUCGGGUCUAGAGUCUUCUUUCGGAAGAUGGCCCCAUUCGUCUCUUUCCACACCAUCCAGAGCGUUUCGGCAAUUAGUUUGAGGGACGGUGCUUUUGGUAAGCCGCUCUUAUAAUGAAGGAGCCACCGAUCUAUGCUUGUUAGUCCCUUGCUCUGUAUUGGGAUGUUGAUGCGUGGAUCUGACCAAACUUUGGAUGUCCAGGGCAAAGCAGAAAUAAAUGCUCUAUUGUUUCGAGCUUCAUUUUGCACAGAUGGCAAGUCGGUUCAGGUAUGAUUUUUCGUCUGAAUAAAUUCUUCUUUGUGGGGAGAGCAUUUUGACAGAGAUUCCAUAUAAAAACUUUGAUUUUUGGGAGGGUCUGCAAACUCCAAAUUUUACACCAUAGCGCUCUAGGCUUUUGGUAUGAGGUUGAUGCUUCGUUAUGUGCUGGGUAGAUAUUUGCUUUCCUUUGUUGGCCUUUAGCAAGACUCAAUCUCAUUGGAUUUGGGUGAGGUCAAGCCAUGAUGGCCUCACCCAAAUUUAGGCGAGGGCUUCAUUGCCCUCAUCCCAAUGGCCAACGACCUCAUCAACCACAAUAAGCAAAAAAAGAGGAAAAGAAAGUAAGGAAAAAAGAAGAAAAGAAAAGUUUUAAUUUUUUUUAGAAACUAUUUAUAUCAACACCUACUGUAUGACAUAGGAUGCCAAAUGUUAACGUCGGCAAUUUCCGGUUAAAAUUGAUUGAAUGAACUCGAUUGGCAAAAUAUAAAAAGUUUAUGACUCAAUUAACGUAAUAAAAAUAUCUAGCACUAAAUUGAAGCUCCGAAGUGGAUUCUUAGAUAUUUAAAGAGGAUAACAGACGUGGGUAUAAUGUAUCGAAGGAACAACAAUGGCGGUGAGAUCACUAGUUAUGUGGAUUCAGAUCACGCUAGUAACUUGAAUGAUUGCAAGUCUUUAGCAAGGUAUAUAUUUACACUAGUAGGUGGUGUAGUGAGUUGGAAAGCAUUCUUAUAAGAUCAUAUUACCUUGUAUUCGACUGAGACAGAGGACAUGGCAUUAACCUCUAUAGCAAAUGAGGUGAUAUGGUCACGAAAUUUGCUUUCGGACUUUGAGCUGGAUUAGAAAAGUGUUGAUAUACAUAGUGAUAAUCAAGAUGCAAUAUUUUUGGCAUAUAAUCUAGUUUAUCACGAGCAAAUGAAGCAUAUUAAUGUCAGGUACCAUUUCAUCUGAAAUGUCUUAGUGAAGGGCAAUGUCAUUGUAAAAAAGAUUGCAACAACAGACAUGAUGACACUGUUCAUUUGGCGAAGCUCAAGCAAAGUAUUUGUGGAGAGCGAGCGCCUAUCGGUGCAUUGAGAGAGUAACGUGGAAGGUGAUCACUAUAAAUUGGUUUCAAAUGUUGAGUUAAAGUGGAGAAUUAUUAAAUUAAUGUCUCGAGUUUAUAUCUAAAUUGAUAUUGAUGCGCGGCUGUAAAAGUGAAAUACACAAUUUUCCUGCAUUCAAUCUGAACAAAGACCAACCCGUGUGCGGCUUGAACU